AGCAACUUCACUUUCACUUUAGAGCCAUCAACAUUAGGUUGAUAAUACUUCUGUUGAUUAAACAAAUUGCAGAAAGUCUCCUGCUUCCAGACACGGUAACUAUAGCUUAUGUAACUGGUCACCAGGAAGGGAAUUCUAUGGAAGCCACAGGGAACAGGCUCACAGAUGAAGCCACUAAGUGAGCCUCUCUAGGGGAGAAAAUGAAGCUAUUAAACCUAAUCUCAAACACCCAAACUGAAGACCAAAGAUCGGUGUCACCUGACAGAAGGAAAAUGACAAGGAAGCCCACGAAGAGGGAGUUAAUGCCCAUUGGGGCCCCCAGGCUAUGUAUGAUACAGUACUUAGAAAUUAUGGUUGCCUGAGAAUUUACACCAUUGCGAAACAGGUUUACAGUAGCCUGCCAGGAAAUUAACAAGAGGGUGAUUAGGAAAACACACUCCGGGAGGCAGACUUCCUGGGCUAAGACCAAUUUCUAAGAAACUAUAUACUGACCAUUUCCUCUACCUUAUCAUUCCCCAGAUUAAAAGGACACCUUGCCCAGACUCUGCCUGUAGAAUUCAUCACUUCCAGCCCAGUGACUUGGUGUUAAUCAAACCCUGGAAAGAAGACAAACUCCAACCAAGCUGGAAAGGCCCUUAUCAAGUGCUCCUGACCACUGAGACAGCUGUAUGGACUGCUGAAAAAGGUUGUACUCAUUACACACGAGUCAAGGGGCCAAAUAAAAGAGACCUCAAAGGGAAGGGAAAGGACCAAUGAGCAGCCUUUAAAGGGUCUUUUCCAAUGAGCUGGCUCUUCACAUCAGAUGGCCAAAAUAUUGGCACUUCAGCUUCAGUCCUUCCAGUGAGUAUUCAGGGCUGACUUCCUUUAGGACUGACUGGUUUGCAGUAUUUAUAUGGUUGUUCUAUACAUUUCUGUACAACCAGUGGGGUGUGGUGAGUGUUCAAUGGCUGCUUCUUUGGGAGAAGCAGAGAAGCGUGUGUUUCUGUCUAAUUACACUUGUGCCCUGUGUAUGUAUAGUUUCUUCUAAAUUUUACCAUUUUCCCAUAUGUAAGUUUCGAAGACAAUAAAACAAUAAAACGGA